rnacentral:hammerhead_ribozyme from 1 species
AUCCAGCUGACGAGUCCCGAAUAGGACGAAAUGCCCAUCCUGGAU